rnacentral:piRNA from 1 species
UGGGAUCUUUCUCAGAUUGUCAUUCGGAGU